CACAGUAUAUAUCAGUAAUUAAGCGCUGCAUUACAUAAGGUCUGCACACACAAUAAAUGUUUAUAUAUGCACUGUAUAUAUCAGUAAUUAGGUGCUGCAUUACUAAGGUCUGCACACACAAUAAAUGUUUAUAUAUGCACAGUA